ACAUUUUAGGUCUAGGAAAAGCCCUGCUUGUCAAUGCAAGUGUUAGUGUAUUGCAAGAGAGGUGUUUCUCUGGGGGAUAAGUAUAAAAGAUAAACUACUUAAGUCCAGCCUAAUAGUUCAGAACUUGUUUUACUUGUUAAACUAGGAGAAAACUGGAAACUUUGAUUACAGUUAUGUGAACAUAAUGCUGUAAGGAUUAUUCUUGCUCCUCUAUGGCUGAUUGUGUUGGCAAGUGAAAAUGGGUGGAGUUAAUGCUUUCAAAAUGGAUAGUAAUGUUUUUAUAUGCAGACUUUUCAGGUGCAGCAUGGGAGGACACUGCUCUGAGAGGGAAUGAAGCAGAGUUAUUUAAGCAGCCCAAAACCAGCCUUUCACUGGGCUGAGAGAUAAAAUAUUUAAACAUGUGUGACAGAAGCAUUGCUGAUUGUAGUUGGAAGACUCCUGGAAUUCCUGUUGAAUUUAUUGCUAGCCACAAGUGAUCAAGAAGCCUGGUCCUUCUGCUUUGUAGAAGUCCUCAUUGUUCAGACCUAGCAGUGGUCGUCCACAUGCUGGUCACCUCCAGCUGUGUUAUUGGAUGUCUUUAGGAAAAUAGUACCUGUUGUCUACAGGAACCAAAUAAA